GAUGAACGCUGGCGGCGUACCUAACGCAUGCAAGUCGAACGGGAGCAUGAGUAGCAAUACGAGUGUUCUAGUGGCAAACGGGUGAGUAACACGUGGGAAUCUACCCUCAAGUGGGGAACAACGGACCGAAAGGUUCGCUAAUACCGCAUGUGGUCGUGAGACCAAAGGUUGUUUCGUGAGAAACGAUCGCUCCAAGAGGAGCCUGCGUUCGAUCAGGUAGUUGGUGAGGUAACGGCUCACCAAGCCGAUGACCGAUAGCUGUUCUGAGAGGAAGAUCAGCCACACUGGGACUGUGACACGGCCCAGACUCCUACGGGAGGCAGCAGCGAGGAAUAUUGCACAAUGGACGCAAGUCUGAUGCAGUAACGCCGCGUGGGGGAAGAAGACCUUCGGGUUGUAAACCUCUUUUAUAUAGGACGAGUGAGGACGGUACUAUAGGAAUAAGUCUCGGCUAACUACGUGCCAGCAGCCGCCG
rnacentral:rRNA from 1 species